rnacentral:rRNA from 1 species
CCUACGGGGAGCUGCAGUCGAGAAUCAUUCACAAUGGGGGAAACCCUGAUGGUGCGACGCCGCGUGGGGGAAUGAAGGUCUUCGGAUUGUAAACCCCUGUCAUGUGGGAGCAAAUUAAAAAGAUAGUACCACAAGAGGAAGAGACGGCUAACUCUGUGCCAGCAGCCGCGGUAAUACAGAGGUCUCAAGCGUUGUUCGGAAUCACUGGGCGUAAGGCGUGCGUAGGCUGUUUCGUAAGUCGUGUGUGAAAGGCGCGGGCUCAACCCGCGGACGGCACAUGAUACUGCGAGACUAGAGUAAUGGAGGGGGAACCGGAAUUCUCGGUGUAGCAGUGAAAUGCGUAGAUAUCGAGAGGAACACUCGUGGCGAAGGCGGGUUCCUGGACAUUAACUGACGCUGAGGCACGAAGGCCAGGGGAGCGAAAGGGAUUAGAUACCCGUGUAGUC